rnacentral:rRNA from 1 species
UCCGUAGGUGGAUCAAUCAGUCAGAGGUGAAAUCCUGCAGCUUAACUGUAGAACUGCCUUUGAUACUGUCGAUCUUGAGUCAUUAUGAAGUGGUUAGAAUGUGUAGUGUAGCGGUGAAAUGCAUAGAUAUUACACAGAAUACCGAUUGCGAAGGCAGAUCACUAAUAAUGUACUGACACUGAGGGACGAAAGCGUGGGGAGCGAACAGGAUUAGAUACCCUGGUAGUCC